UUGAAAGCAUCCACCAUUGAUACAAUUUAAAGAGACAUUACUACCAAUCAUCAAAAUUUCUUUGUUUUCUUUCUUAAUAGAGUUACGUGAAUUCUUGCUCCUCUUUCUUGGAAUUUCACUCUUCCCUAUUAAUCUAAUACCCAAUAAAAUUUCUUUUUCACGUUUUCACGCCCACCUUUCAUGUGCUAACACUUUUUAAUGUUUCCAUAUCUCUUUCUUGACGGUGCUCACAAAUUGGUCAUCAAAAUAUUUAUUUUAAUUCAAGAAAUUUUCUCCAUCGUUAAACAAAAUCUCUUUAUUAAUUAAAGUUGAUUUCUCGAUUGGCAAGGAUUUUAGAUUCGGGGAGAACAUAUGUAUGUCUACAAUGUAUGAAUCAACACUUUAUUUGUGUAUUCCAUUCUAUCUAUAUAUCAAAAAGUUUUAUAUUUUUUAUUUUUACAUUGUAUUUCAAUCUCAAUUAGUAUACCGACAUGUUUGUAUUUUCUUCUUAAUUUUAUUUUGUUCUUAAUUGUAUUUGUCCUAACUGUAUGCUAACAACUUUAUAUUUUAUUGGGUAUCCAUUCUGUAUUUCAAUCUCAAUUUCUAUGUGAACAAGUUUGUAUUUCUCUUUGAUUUUGUAUUCUACCUAAUUGUAUACUAACAGGUUUUGUA